rnacentral:misc_RNA from 1 species
AACGCACAUUGCGCCCGCCAGCAUUCUGGCGGGCAUGCCUGUUCGAGCGUCAUUUCAACCCUCAGGCCCUGCCUGGCGUUGGAGGACUGCGCACCGCAGCCUCCCAAAGCGAGCGGCGGCGGCGCCCCAAGACCGAACGCAGUAGUUUUCUCUCGUUCUGGGCCUGGGACGUCGUCCUGCCGGAAAACCCCCAACUUUUACGUGGUUGACCUCGAAUCAGGUAGGAAUACCCGCUGAACUUAA